rnacentral:ncRNA from 1 species
GAAAAAAUGGCCAUUUUGGUCAGGGCCAACUGUUGCCUGAAGAAGGGUAA